GGGGGGUUGGCGGCAACGAAAGAGGAGGGGAGAAGGGUGUUGUAGCACUGGGGGAAAGAAUGAGAGAAUAAAAAGGGAAAAAUAAAUAAAGAAUAAGAAUGGAGAAAAUGAGAGUUUUUCAAUGGUGCACAAUGGUGGUGGCCACGGUGGUGCAAGGGCGACAAUGCAGAAAACGAGUGGGAGUAACGGUGACAAAGAGGAGGUUCGGUGAUGGUGAUAGUAGUAGUUUGGUUGGCUAAUAAGUGGUGGAAGUGAUGAAGAGAGAUGGAGCAAAAGUGGUGGUAUAGGGUGGCUAAAAUAAAAGAAAACAUUGAGAGAAAGGAGGAGCAUGGAGGAGGGGCGGCCAAAAGAGAAUGGAUAAGAGAAAAGUGAAAAUAAAAGAUGAGCUACACCUUGUCUAGGUUCAAUGACUCAAUUCAUGUAGUAAGGAUGGAGAAAAAAGCAUGUUGAGGAGACAAAGGAGCAAAAAAGGGAUCGAGGUUGUAGAAUAUUGUAUGUU
rnacentral:lncRNA from 1 species